CCCUUAGAUGUCCUGGGCCGCACGCGCGUUACACUGAUGCAUUCAACGAGCUUAUAACCUUGGCCGAGAGGCCUGGGCAAUCUUGUUAACGUGCAUCGUGAUAGGGAUAGAUUAUUGAAAUUAUUAAUCUUGAACGAGGAAUUCCUAGUAAACGCAGUUCAUCAAUCUGCAUUGAUUACGUCCCUGCCCUUUGUACACACCGCCCGUCGCACCUACCGAUUGGAUGGUCCGGUGAAGCCUCGGGAUUGUGGUUCUUGCCGCUUUAUUGUGGCGUGACCGCGAGAACUUGUCUAAACCUUAUCAUCUAGAGGAAGGUGAANUCGUANCA
rnacentral:rRNA from 1 species